UACAGAGGGUGCGAGCGUUAAUCGGAAUUACUGGGCGUAGAGCGCACGUAGUCGGCUUGCCAAGUCGGGUGUGAAAUCCCCGGGCUCAACCUGGGAACUGCAUCCGAAACUGGCUUGCUAGAGUAUGGGAGAGGGAGGCGGAAUUUCUGGUGUAGCAGUGAAAUGCGUAGAUAUCAGAAGGAACAUCAGUGGCGAAGGCGGCCUCCUGGACCAAUACUGACGAUCAGGUGCGAAAGCGUGGGGAGCAAACAGG
rnacentral:rRNA from 1 species